CAAGAAGGCCACCUGCAUUGUUAAGGGAUGUGCUCGAUUAGUGUCUCUUUGGACUAAAGGCCCAGGACAGCCAUGGGGCAACGUGGUAUUUGCACAAAGCAGAGAAGAUACAUUAGAGCAGGAAAUACAAUGAUAUGCUCCUGUCUAGCUUGGGCUUCAAGGUGACCAGAGGAGUAGUAAACCUGGAGACUCACUAAUGUCAGUGAAAGAAAAGUGGAAGAACUGAAAAAGCCUUUCUCAGCUUGGAUGUGAGAUGUUGCAUGGAUAAGGAGAGGCCCGGGGGACAGGCACCUGGGGACAGCAUUUCGGACCCAAGGUGCAGACCACUGAAAAAGGACUUUGCACGCUACAAACCAUAUGUGAGAGCUGCUUUCCAAAAGGAGGGAAUAAACAACCACGAGACGAAAUAUUCCUAAGUAACGGAUUAGUGACAUGAGCAUAGCAUGGGAUACAGCUCUCAGAAAUCAUUACAUCUGACACCCUCAUCAGCAAGAAGAUGUAGGGGCUGCAAGGAACAGCGUAUGAAAGAUUGGCUUCUCCUGGGAAGGGAGGCACAAGGGAGAUUAUUUUUAGUACUUGGGGAGGGGUAAAAAGAAGAAAAAGCUAGAAUUUAACAACUCUUUAGCUGGAUACCCUCCGAGCAUAGGGACAGGAAAGCAAAAGGGAGUGGAAAUGGCAUCGGUCCCAGCAAGGGGGAGCGGAGGGGACGGGACGAGGCGGGAGGG
rnacentral:lncRNA from 14 species